ensembl:lncRNA novel transcript
ACCUUAGCAAGCCUGGGCAAUGGCGGGCGCCCCUCCCCCAGCCUCGCUGCCGCCUUGCAGUUUGAUCUCAGACUGCUGUGCUAGCAAUCAGCAAGACUCCGUGGGCGUAGGACCCUCCAAGCCAGGUGCGAUAUAAUGUCGUGGUGCGCCGUUUUUUAAGCUGGUUGGAAAAGCGCAGUAUUCGCGUGGGAGUGACCCGAUUUUCCAGUGAGAUGAACCCGGUACCUCAGAUUGAAAUGCAGAAAUCACCCGUCUUCUGCGUCGCUCACGCUGGGAGCUGUAGACCGGAGCUGUUCCUAUUCGGCCAUCUUGGCUCCUCCCUCAGGAGUGAAAUACAUCACCGCUUUCCCUGCUCCCGCCGCCAUUAAAAUUGUGUUUGGCAUCUGACCACCAAGAUACAGAUAUUUCCUAGACUGUUUUGCAGCUAGGUACUUAGAUUUCAUACUAGGACCUUUCAUUGGCUGAACAAAGACAAAGACAGAAAUCAAGGAAGGUCAAAGAAGCAGUCAGUUUUCUGGCACCCAAAGUUGUUGGAGAAGGGUACAGAGUCGGUAAAUAAGUCAUAUGACAGACAGGCAGUAUUUUCUUAUUUUAAUAACAAGUUUAAAAAUCCCACUUCUUGUACUUACCUUCUGUCUGACGUCAUCAGUAUUUUAAAAUGCCAACUGGGAUCAAGUUCAACACUGCAUUACUGAAGAAUCCAGAUUAUCUACAUUUCAAGUGCCAAAUGAAAGAAAGAACCCAGAAAAUAAAACAAUAUGAUGAUAACAGUAAAAUUUUUUAAAAUGAAA